AAGGUAGCGAAAUUCCUUGUCGGGUAAGUUCCGACCUGCACGAAUGGCGUAACGACUUCCCCGCUGUCUCCAACAUAGACUCAGCGAAAUUGAAUUCUGAGUUAAGAUGCUCAGUACCCGCGGUUAGACGGAAAGACCCCGUGAACCUUUACUAUAGCUUUGCAGUGGUAUUAGGUGACAAAUGUGUAGGAUAGGUGGGAUGCUAUGAAGUUAUGACGCUAGUUGUAAUGGAGCAGACGUUGAAAUACCACCCUUUUGUUAUUUGAUAUCUAACCUGCUUCCGUUAUCCGGAAGAGGGACCCUGCAUGGUGGGUAGUUUGACUGGGGCGGUCGCCUCCCAAAGAGUAACGGAGGCGCGCAAAGGUUGGCUCAGAUUGGUCGGAAAUCAAUCGUUGAGUGCAAUGGCAUAAGCCAGCCUGACUGCGAGAGCGACAGUUCGAGCAGAGACGAAAGUCGGUCAUAGUGAUCCGGUGGUCCCGAGUGGAAGGGCCAUCGCUCAACGGAUAAAAGGUACUCCGGGGAUAACAGGCUGAUUCCGCCCAAGAGUUCACAUCGACGGCGGAGUUUGGCACCUCGAUGUCGGCUCAUCUCAUCCUGGGGCUGUAGCCGGUCCCAAGGGUAUGGCUGUUCGCCAUUUAAAGAGGUACGUGAGCUGGGUUUAAAACGUCGUGAGACAGUUUUGUCCCUAUCUGCCGUGGGCGCUGGAAGAUUGACGGGGGCUGUUCCUAGUACGAGAGGACCGGAAUGGACUCACCUCUGGUGUACCGGUUGUCACGCCAGUGGCACCGCCGGGUAGCUAUGUGGGGAAAGGAUAACCGCUGAAAGCAUCUAAGCGGGAAACCUGCCUGAAGAUAAGUCUUCCUGGAGGCCAGACCUCCCUGAAGAGUCGUUCGAGACCAGGACGUUGAUAGGUCGGGUGUGCAAGCGCUGUGAGGCGUUGAGCUGACCGAUACUAAUUGCUCGUGAAGCUUGAUCCU
rnacentral:rRNA from 1 species